rnacentral:rRNA from 1 species
GAUGAACGCUGGCGGCGUGCCUAAUACAUGCAAGUCGAACGCGCCGAGAAGGGAACUUGUUCCUUUCAACGCGCGUGGCGAACGGGUGAGUAACACGUGGGAAACCUACCCUUCAGCGGGGGAUAACCAUCGGAAACGAUGACUAAUACCGCAUAGUUGUUACAGUCGCAUGACAGGAAUGGGAAAGACGGCUUCGGUUGUCACUGAAGGAUGGUCCCGCGGUGCAUUAGCUAGACGGUGGGGUAACGGCCUACCGUGGCUUUGAUGCAUAGCCGACCUGAGAGGGUGAUCGGCCACAUUGGGACUGAGACACGGCCCAAACUCCUACGGGAGGCAGCAGUAGGGAAUCUUCCGCAAUGGGCGCAAGCCUGACGGAGCAACGCCGCGUGUGUGAAGAAGGUCUUCGGAUCGUAAAGCACUGUUAUCAGAGAAGAAUAACCUUUAAAGUAACUGUGAUAGGUUUGACGGUAACUGAUCAGAAAGCCACGGCUAACUACGUG